GGAAAUAUACAAUUUAAAAAAAAGGGAAAACCUACAUUAAGAUUUAAACAUCUAUCUUAAAAUGUAAAAUAGAGAUAUUAAGUAGAUAAAAAGUACAAGAAAUGGAAAUACAUAUACAGGAAAAUAAAUAAUAAUUAAAUAAUAUAAAUAUAUAAUAUAUGAAUUAUAUCUAUAAUAAUAAGUAAAUACACAAUUUUAAAAAAAAUGGAAAAAGUUCAUUAAGCAUUAAACAUCUAUCUUAAAAUGUAAAAUAUAUGAUAAAAGUAAAUACACAAUUUAAAAAAAGGAAAAAGUACAUUAAGAUUUAAAUAUCUAUUUUAAAAUAUAAAAUAUAGAUAUUACGUAAAUAAAAAAUAUAAGAAAUGGAAAUAAACAUUUUAAAAAAUGGAAAAAGUACAUUAAGAUUUAAACAUCGAUCUUAAAAUGUACAUCUAUCUUAAAAUGGUAGUAAAUUAUAUAAAAAUGAAAAUACCUCAUUAAACAAAAAAAAAUUAAAAAUGUAUAGUUUUACAUCAAGAAAGUCCCUAUAAAACUCAUUAUUCCAUCAACCUCACACUAUUAAGGAAAACUUCAAAGCACUCGAGCAAAAAAAUGGUUCUACCAUCAACUCUUGCCGUCCCAAAAACCUUUAAUGACCUUGAAAGAGAUUUUUUAUAACAACAAACUUUUUGUUAGGUGGAUUCAUUGUUGGGAAACCCGCAACUUUCAAAAACCAAACUUAUUCAUGGGAAUUGAAUUGCUUUUCAUAGACUCAAAGGUAUUCUUACAAAUUUAAAUUAAUCUAAUCCAUAAUUUUAUUGUUAAUAUUCGUACUAGCUCUUUCAUGAUCAAACCAUUACAGUUAAUAAUCAUUCAAGCGUUUAUCCCGAAACACUUCCUUCCUCGCUGAAUCAGGUAUUGGUUCAUGUUGGUUUAGUAUUGUUUUUGGUUUAUUAACCGGUUUAGGAUGGUCCUAUUGUAAAUAUAAUUUAAGUUGGUUUAGCAUAUAUUAUGCUUAAAAUAACUUAAAUUAAAUAAUAGUAAUAUUAUGCUU
rnacentral:lncRNA from 1 species